GGAGUCAUAACUCAGUGAUAAGAGUAUCUGCUUUGUAUGCAGAAGGUCCCAGGUUCAAUCCCUGGUAUCUUCA